rnacentral:rRNA from 1 species
CAGCACCUCAAGUGGUCAGGAUGAUUAUUGGGCCUAAAGCAUCCGUAGCCGGCGCUGUAAGUUUUCGGUUAAAUCUGUACGCUCAACGUACAGGCUGCCGGGAAUACUGCAGCGCUAGGGAGUGGGAGAGGUAGACGGUACUCGGUAGGAAGAGGUAAAAUCCUUUGAUCUAUUGAUGACCACCUGUGGCGAAGGCGGUCUACCAGAACACGUACGACGGUGAGGGAUGAAAGCUGGGGGAGCAAACCGGAUUAGAUACCCGAGUAGUCC